rnacentral:rRNA from 1 species
GGGGAGCGAAUAGGAUUAGAUACCCUGGUAGUCCACGCCCUAAACGAUGUCAACUAGGUGUUGGAAGGGUUAAACCUUUUAGUGCCGUAGCUAACGCGUGAAGUUGACCGCCUGGGGAGUACGGCCGCAAGGCUAAAACUCAAAGGAAUUGACGGGGACCCGCACAAGCGGUGGAUGAUGUGGAUUAAUUCGAUGCAACGCGAAAAACCUUACCUACCCUUGACAUGUCAGGAAUCCCGGAGAGAUUUGGGAGUGCUCGAAAGAGAACCUGAACACAGGUGCUGCAUGGCUGUCGUCAGCUCGUGUCGUGAGAUGUUGGGUUAAGUCCCGCAACGAGCGCAACCCUUGUCAUUAAUUGCCAUCAUUUAGUUGGGCACUUUAAUGAGACUGCCGGUGACAAACCGGAGGAAGGUGGGGAUGACGUCAAGUCCUCAUGGCCCUUAUGGGUAGGGCUUCACACGUCAUACAAUGGUCGGUCCAGAGGGUUGCCAACCCGCGAGGGGGAGCCAAUCUCAGAAAGCCGAUCGUAGUCCGGAUUGCAGUCUGCAACUCGACUGCAUGAAGUCGGAAUCGCUAGUAAUCGCGGAUCAGCAUGUCGCGGUGAAUACGUUCCCGGGUCUUGUACACACCGCCCGUCA